GAGUUUGAUCGUGGCUCAGAUUGAACGCUGGCGGCAUGCCUUACACAUGCAAGUCGAACGGCAGCAUGAUCUAGCUUGCUAGAUUGAUGGCGUGUGGCGAACGGGUGAGUAAUACAUCGGAACGUGCCCUGUAGUGGGGGAUAACUAGUCGAAAGAUUAGCUAAUACCGCAUACGACCUGAGGGUGAAAGUGGGGGACCGCAAGGCCUCAUGCUAUAGGAGCGGCCGAUGUCUGAUUAGCUAGUUGGUGGGGUAAA
rnacentral:rRNA from 1 species